GGUAAAUGUUUCAUGAUAAUGAGUUAGGUAAAUGUUUCAUGAUAAGAAUUUCAUGUCUUUUGUAUUAAAGAAUUAAAUGGAUGAAAUAUGAAGUUUUAUUAAAAGAAAAAGGGGUGAAAAGAACAAAGUUUUGUCCAUCUUUGUUCAUCAUAGCUGAAAGUUAGAGAAGAGAAAGGAGAGGAGAAGCUCUUGAGUAUUCGGUCAUUAGGAGGAGGAAAAUUGAAGGAAAUCCUCAACCAUAGUGGGCUUGAAGCUGUGAGGGAAUUCGGAGUGGCCACCCGUUCUGAAAGUUUGAUUUUCUUCUGGUGAACUGGACAUCCUUUUAAUUACGUUUGAGGUUUUGGGCUUUUAAAUAUAAUAAGGCCGCUUAUUUA